GUGAGGUGGUAGCUGUGUUCCAAAACGUUUUUCAAGACAUUGCAAUCGUCCGUUUGGAAUAUUAUUGAAGUUCUAAGAUAAAAAGGCUCUAAAGAUUGAUGCUAUACAACGUUUGACAUGUUUGAACGAACGUAAAUACAACUUUUUUUGACUUUUUAUUGUGACAUUUUCCGCGCGCUUCCUACACUUGGAGUAGCUUACUGAACGCGCAAACAACAAGGGGGUAUUUCAACAUAAAUUAUGGACUUUAUCGAACAACAUUUAUUGUGGACCUGGGAUCCCUGGAAGUGCCUUCUGAUGAAGAUUAUUAAAAAUUAAACAUGAACGGGCCAAAACGGACAUGGCAGCAGGUGAAAAUCAAAUACAAGAACAUUCUGCAGAAUGCAGUGAAAAAGAAUACCCACAGACAAGGCAUGGGUGGUGGGUCACCAAAGGCUGACCUUACCCCAGCAGAGGACAUGGCCUUGGAGCUAAAUAAAGGCAGGCCCGUCUUAGAGGGGAUCCCUGGGGGGAAAGAGACGAGCAUAGGUUCCUCCCAAGAUGCCACCCGCUUCAUUCAAGUGUCUGGCAGCACUGUGUUCCUGUUAGAGCCACCAGCACAAGCACCAGACGAUGCUGAUCCAGUGAGUACUCCAUCAAAGGCAUACUGUAGGCCUGGCAUGUCUUGUCUACUAGCUUCAAUAUGAAUCCGAUUAAAUGUGAUAGGGUGAAGGCCCCAGUGCAGCAGCAACAGCACAUGAUGGAGACGAUGAUGAGGAGGAGACCAUCUCUCUGGAUUCCAGAAGGCAUGAGGACCCAGAUGCUAUACAGUGGGAAAACCAGCCUGGCAACAUAAGCUCACAAGCUAUCAGAAAGUUGUAUGGCAACCACCUCCGGCGCCAAAUAGAACUGGCAGACAUAGACAUUCAGUACAAGAAGAAAAAGAUGGAAAAUCUUGCACUGGAGUCCGAAAUAAAAAAGAGGACAAUUAGGAAACUGGACCUUGAAAUAAAAAAACUUGAGAGGGAGCUCCAAGAAGAUGACACAGCUCAAAAUAAAAAUUAGGUAUAUUCUCGUAAAGUCAAGUGAGCCAUGACAUAUGAGCUCUUAUUGUGAGCACAC
rnacentral:lncRNA from 1 species